rnacentral:rRNA from 1 species
UACGUAGGGUGCAAGCGUUAAUCGGAAUUACUGGGCGUAAAGCGUGCGCAGGCGGUUUUGUAAGUCUGUCGUGAAAUCCCCGGGCUCAACCUGGGAAUUGCGAUGGAGACUGCAAGGCUAGAAUCUGGCAGAGGGGGGUAGAAUUCCACGUGUAGCAGUGAAAUGCGUAGAGAUGUGGAGGAACACCGAUGGCGAAGGCAGCCCCCUGGGUUAACACUGACGCUCAGGCACGAAAGCGUGGGGAGCAAACAGG